rnacentral:rRNA from 1 species
AGAGCGAACGCUGGCGGCAGGCCUAACACAUGCAAGUCGAACGCCGUAGCAAUACGGAGUGGCAGACGGGAUAGUAACACGUGGGAACGCGCCCUUCGGUUCGGAAUAACUCAGGGAAACUUGAGCUAAUACCGGAUACGCCCUUACGGGGAAAGAUUUAUUGCCGAAGGAACGGCCCGCGUCGGAUUAGCUAGUUGGUGAGGUAAUGGCUCACCAAGGCGACGAUCCGUAGCUGGUCUGAGAGGAUGACCAGCAUCACUGGGACUGAGACACGGCCCAGACUCCUACGGGAGGCAGCAGUGGGGAAUAUUGGACAAUGGGCGCAAGCCUGAUCCAGCCAUGCCGCGUGGAUGAUGAAGGCCCUAGGGUUGUAAAGUCCUUUUAACGGGGAAGAUAAUGACGGUACCCGUAGAAUAAGCCCCGGCUAACUUCGCGCCAGCAGCCGC